GCCAGUGAUGCUACACCCUACAUUUGGAGGUGCAGAUGACUCCAGGAUCCUGUUUACAGGAUGAACCUACCUGGAGGCGCUGUGUCUGCAUGACAUUCAUGGGCAAGUCUGAGGU
rnacentral:snoRNA from 1 species